rnacentral:lncRNA from 1 species
GUUUAGAAGGUUCCUCCUUUGUCUCUGGGCUCCUUUUCUUUUAUUCCCCUAGGACUCUUUGCUGCAAAUGAUUUUAUCUGAAGCUGUGUCUGAACAAAAAUAGACAAAUGGAGAACUGAGGCAAUUAUACUAUUAAUUCAAGCAGAGAAAAAAGCACUUCGCCUGAGUUAUCUGGCAUUUCCUGGCAAAAAUCUUUUUCUAUGUCAAUGAUCUAGAAGAUUGCCUAACUUCUUUUCUUCAGGGGUGUAGAUGUGGCCUAUGUCACAUGGCUCUCAUUGCCUCAUUUCCUGCUGCUUCAGACUGUGUCUAUUCUAGGAAGGCUGACACAUGAUGAGAAGAGUCAGUGGUCCUGAGGUACAGUACUUAAGAUAACCCUGUGAAGGCUGAGAUUGAUAUUUGAAAUUCACAACUGAUCUUGGAGCCUGGUACAGCAGUCAUGGAGCCAUAUUGGAUUGUGAAAGGAACUCAGUUGACCUGGCCUAUUGCAGAUUUAUUCUGAGAAUUUCAAUUCAGUCUUUGCUGCUGUUUGGAAAUCUUUCAUGAAUCUUUUAAUAACUUCCUUACAUACAUCUUGUUCCAUUAAAGCCCCAAAUUUGGCUUUGUCAGCUCUCUUUCUUCAUAAUCUUUAGGAUUUGUUCAUGUGUGGAUGUGAUGGAACUGAAGUCGCUAGGUUCAUGCUACCUGGAACAUGAGACUGACAAAUAGAGGAGCACUGAGUCAAAUGAAUCUCGGAGAAAUGGAGCUGGAAGAAAACUGGAGUAAGCCUGUCCCUGAAAGGGCACUACAUUUGGAUAUCCAGCAGUGGGACUCAAUAUUUUUUCUUGUUGUUUAAUCUCAUUUCUGUUACUUGCAGCCAAAGGCUCUUAAUGAGAAAAUGGCUCUACCUAGUUUUCUGAAAUUGCCUCAGUCUCUCCACUCUUCCCUAUUACAAAGGUCAUCUCUUUAAUUCACAUCCAAUAACUGAUAGUCUCUUGACUAAUCUACAUCCUCUCAUUCUCUCCUAAUUCACCUUUCAUACUGUUGCCAGGUGACUUUUCCUAAAAGACAACUUUCAUGAUGUCACUCUACUUCAUAAAUUCUUAUAAUGGUU